rnacentral:rRNA from 1 species
UUGACCUCGGAUCAGGUAGGGAUACCCGCUGAACUUAAGCAUAUCAAUAAGCGGAGGAAAAGAAACCAACAGGGAUUGCCUCAGUAACGGCGAGUGAAGCGGCAACAGCUCAAAUUUGAAAUCUGGCUCUUUCAGGGUCCGAGUUGUAAUUUGUAGAAGAUGCUUUGGGUGUGGCUCCGGUCUAAGUUCCUUGGAACAGGACGUCAUAGAGGGUGAGAAUCCCGUACGUGACUGGUUGCCUCCGCCCGUGUAAAGCUCUUUCGACGAGUCGAGUUGUUUGGGAAUGC